rnacentral:tRNA from 1 species
AGGCCUGUAGCUCAAUCGGCUAGAGCAGGGGCCUCCAAAGCCCAAGGUUGGGGGUUCGAGUCCCUCCAGGCCUGCCA